GAAAGUUCAAAGUACUAAUACGAUGAUACCAAAAUGUAACACUAUAUAGUUUAAUUAAACAUUAGAAAAUCUUUUGUGCCGACGCUUAUAAACCAGUGAAGGAAAGAUCAUAGAAAUUCAACAACAUUUCAGAAAGAAAGGAAGAAUAAAAUUGGAAUAAACUUCUACUCAGUCUUUGAUCCUUUACUCCUUAAACUCCGAUUAUCUACCCAAUUUUGGACUUAACCCCAAUUCUCUCUCCGCUGACCAAAAUCGUAAUUUCCUCUUUACCUCAACAUGAAUCCACAAUCACCGGUUCGGCCCGAACCGGAUCAUCCGGCUCGAUUCGCCCUCCCACCCGGUUCUCAUCGCAAAGUCGCGAUCGCCGUUGAUCUCAGCGACGAAAGCGCCUACGCCGUCCGAUGGGCCGUUCAAAACUAUCUCCGACCAGGCGACACCGUCAUCCUCCUCCACGUCCGUCCAACUAGCGUCCUCUACGGCGCCGAUUGGGGUCCCGUUGAAAAAACCCUAAACAUCAACGACGGUGAUUCAUCAGAGGAGUCACAGCAGAAAAUCGAAGACGAAUUCGCCAAUUUCACGGCGACGAAAGCGAGUGACCUCGCGCAACCGUUGGUGGAGUCACAAACUCCGUUUAAGAUCCACAUUGUGAAGGAUCAUGAUAUGAAGGAGAGGUUGUGUUUGGAAGUUGAGAGGCUUGGGUUGAGUGCUGUGAUCAUGGGGAGCCGUGGAUUCGGUGCUUCGAAGAGUGCUUCUACGGGGAGACUUGGAAGUGUGAGUGAUUAUUGUGUUCGUCACUGUGUUUGUCCUGUUGUUGUUGUUCGUUAUCCUGAAGAGAGUAAUGGCGGUGGAGUUCAGGGGAAAGAUAGUGUUGGUGUUGGUGAAAAAGUGGAACUUCAUCCUGUGCCUGAGGAAGAACUUGAGGAAUAUCAUGAUGCUCCUGAUGAACAGAAAGGUGGAAGAGGAAUGCCAUCACUUUCAGGCUAUAUGAUUUAAUUUUGCAUAUUGAUACCUAAGAUGUGAAAUAUCCUUACGUCCAAGUUGGCCAGCAUCCUUCUUUCUAAUAAUAGACCAAUACAACACUGCUCACCGAGUUGAUGCCUCACCUCUUCCCGCCAUGGCAGAGUCUAGGGAAUGAUGCUUAAAGAGGUUACAGAGAAAUAUCAAUACCCUACUAACUUCAGAAAAUGGUUAUAGCAUCAAGACAUGCGUCAGAUGGAGAAGAAUAUGUUAAACUUAUUUGAAAAAAUUAUACACUAUAAAUCGAUUGUUUGGUUGGUUGGAAUUUGCAUGCGUUUGAACAGUUUGUUUUUAUACUGCUUCAAUAGUGACGGUUCGAAUACACCAUCUUUCUAUUUCGAUGAUUGGAUUCAAAGACUCUUGAUCCACUUCAUGUUAGGAAACCAAGUGUAGAUUUUAGAAAGAAAACUUUGUUUUCUUGUCUUGUGUUUCAUGUGUGUCCUGUAAAUAUCUCUUACCCUGGGUACAGUUUAUGAAUUCUCAUUUGUUUCGCAACAAUCUGCAUUUGGGGUUUGCUGUGUUGGAUUAUAAUACAAGUUUCAGGUUGCAUUA